rnacentral:tRNA from 1 species
GCGCCAGUAGCUCAGCUGGAUAGAGCAACGGACUUCUAAUCCGUAGGUCGGGGGUUCGAAUCCCUCCUGGCGUACCA